AUGGCCUGGCCUCCUGUCCUCCUCCUCUUCCUGCUAGCUCAGUACCCAGGCUCCUGGGCGCAGACUGGACUGACUCAGGAAGUAUCAGUGUCAGGGUCUGUGGGACAGACAGUCACCCUCACCUGCACUGGAACCAGCAGCAAUGUUGGUACCAAUGGUGCAGGCUGGUACCAGCAGAUUCCUGGUGCUGCCCCCAAAAUUGUGAUGUAUGGAAGUACUCGACCUACCGGGAUCCCAGAUCGAUUCACGGGGUCCAAAUCUGGAAACAAGGCCUCUCUGACAAUCUCAGGCGUGCAGCCUGAGGAUGAGGCUGAUUAUUACUGUGCUUCAUAUGACUUCAAUAUCUACAAUGCCACAGUGCUUCAGACUCAAGGGGAAAUGAGACAAAAACCCAGCCCAGUUUUAGGUGACAUCCCAUGA